CUGAGGUCCCUUUGGAUCCCACAGCACUUCUACCCUACAGGCAGUGAUGCACGGACCUGCAGCAAGGACUUGUUCCUGUUUGGAACUAACUGGCUCAGAUCCUCACCUUUGCUCCUCCACAUUGGAAUGCAGAGGAGUUCCUCAGGAUGGUGAGUUGAAAUUUAAACAGUCUUCUUUUCACUAUGAAGAUCUCCUUGACUCACAUGUUUCCAAGCAUGUUCUUCAGUGUACAAAGACUUUCUCAUACAAAUCCUCUUAAAUUGAAUCAAUCGGUAUUGACCGAGUCUUUUUCAUGGACCAAGCCUGACAGUGGAUGGAGAAAUCCCAGUGAAGAAAGCAGAAGAGUGUUUUAUAUGGUGUUUCCAUUCCAAAGGGGGAGGGGGGUCAAUCCACACAAAAGAACCAGGGACACUUACAGGUGACAGUGACAAAGCCCUGGGAAGCUCAGAUCUUGCCUAAGAAGUUGUAAAAUCACAACACAGACAAGUUCAGGUCUCUGCUUCCACACUUAGGUUUCACCAAGCUGUGACUGAAUAUUUUAUCACUUGGAAAAAAAAACUUACAGUAGAAGUCCUAUUAGAUUUCUGCUGUUGUUUCUUCUUACAUAAACUUAAAUGUAUUCUAAUACCAGUGUCCUAUCACUUUAAAUUAUUUCAUAGGUUAACAUAUUCAUUAGAAUAAUCUCUAGCUUCCCAAUUCCAAAAACUAGUGAGGUUGUACAGUUUUUGGUUAAUUGACGUUGAUUUAACAGGGAUCUGUUACCACUGUUGGCUUCUAUAAAGCUAUCUUCUACUUCCAAACAUGAUUUCAUCAAUGCGUAUUACGUAUUCCUCAUGAAGAUACAUGGAUUUUCUCCGCACAUCUAGACUUAAUGUUGAGCAUAGAUGAUGCAUUUCAUCAUAACAGCUUCACUGAAAACACAGUCGAAGCUUUUGUUUAACUUAGUUCUGCAUUUGUGGCUUGAUUAUGUAGCCACAGUUGUUCUGGUCUGAAAUUACACAUGAGUCAGACCUCAUGACACUGCUAACUAAGCCCAUUUCUGUACAUCACAGAAUCAUAAACACAACAUUUUUUCCUUUAUAAAUAAAUUGGUAACCUCCUUACAAGGCAAAACACUGAGCUAAAAAAAAAAUUUCAAAAUCCUUUUCUAUUCUAAGGAGAGAACAUAAAAAUAAAUGAGUUGCUAAUUUAGAGACACACGAAUUAGGUUUUAAGUAUUGCGGCCCUGUGCUACAGUAAAUUGGCGAGCCAGGCGACUUUACCAUAGUCUGCGUGUGACUCCACACCGGGAGGGGCUGUUUCACAACUAACCCCCACCUCUGCUGUAGUCCAGCUGGAUGUGCACGGGCCAUUUUAGAGAUGUGCACUUUUUUUUUUUAAUACAACACCAUUGUUGCCCAACAGAAAAUAUAUAAGGCCUAUCGAUUAAACUUUUUACUACGAAUUUGCCAUCCGAAGAGGCAAAACCACUCCUUCCUUUGUUUUUUAUUUUUUAUUUUCCCUGUAAGAACGUAUAUAAUUCUCACAAAUGCAACUGGAAGAAGUACAGUUUCACCUUCGAUUUUUCCCUUCUUUUCCUCUGAAGUUCUUUUACAGUGGUGUUAAAACUAGCAUGUUACACACAUAGAUUCAUGUACUUUAUGGCAUAGUCAAUAUGACCUUCAUGUCCUGGCGAAGGAUCAGUGAAUUUCACAAUUUCCAACUUCACCUCCUCAAGACUGGAAGUGGGAACCCAAGGAGAGCAGCUCAGGACUGUAUGCCGUGGCAUGUAGUCAGAUGCUUGGGUGCGGGUACACCUUCGCCAAAA